GAGGAGGGGAGGUAUGGCGGAAGGGAAAUAAAGAAUUAAAAUAAAACCUAGUCAGCUUUAAUUCCCUUCCUCUUCCAGCCACCUGAAAGUGCGCAGAGCGACCGGCUCUACUGUUAAAAGCGACAAGAAACAAACUGAUAGGAAUCGCGGACCGUAUUGAGGUCAGAAGAAAGCGUUGCCAGGGUGACACCGCGGCGGCGGGGGCGCGCCUGCCUGCGAGGCUGCGCUCGUUCGCGGAGCCGGAGCGGUCGCGGCAUCCUCAGCAGCAGCAGCAGCGGCAGCAUCCUCCUGCAACAACCGGAGCGUCUCCAGCUGAGCGUCCGCUGUGAUCAGCUCCAUCAAACCUUCAGUCGGUGCUCCUCUCUGAAGGGAAUUUACCGUGGAUUUACCGCUAAUGACUGACUAAAGGGGGAGUUAUAACCGCAGACUGCUCUGCUCAGGUGAUACUUCCUGCACAAGAGGCAGUAAUGAUAAAGAUUAUUAUAAUGGAUUUUUUUUAAGAUGCUAAAACAUGCAUCAUGCUUUCUGAUCAACGUGACAAUUUAAAAAUUUAUAUAAGGAUCUAUUGAGGAAGAAGCCAAGCCGAGUGAGGCUUGUCUGCCUCUGCUCGGAUCUGGUGUAUCUUUAUAAGGCUGUAGAGACUCUAUAAUUUCUGUUUUAACAUGGGGUCCCACCUGCAGAUGGAUUGAGAAACGACUGUCCCAAUUUUGCAUGUUUAAUUUAAUGCUUUUUUUUUUUUUAGACCGUUUUAUUUUAUUUAUUAAUUAAUUUUUUGAAAGAAGCACUUUUUUGGCUGACUUUUUUUUUUGUGGAGGAGGAGGAAGAGGAGCACUCCAUACCUGCAGCAGUGGAACUGAUAUUAACAGAUGGCUUCCUGCACGUCCCUCUCAAACCGCCUAUCUUCUUAAGGAAGAAAGGUCCAGCAGAACCAGGAUCAGUGUGAGCGGCUAUCUGCUUGAAGCUAACUGGGGUUCGAGGAGACAGAAGUAGACAUACAGAAAGAAGCAGAGACACAAAAGGUUCCCACAGCGACUGGAAAACCCAAGAAAGCAAAUAUCUGGAGGUCAACCCAUCCAAGGAUAGCAGGGCAAGCCUGAACACAGCAAAAAGGUUAGACCUUUGUUUUUCUUCCUCUUUUCCAG